rnacentral:lncRNA from 1 species
GGGAGUGGGAGGAAGCUGGGGAGAAGAUGAGUUGAGAGCAGUCCAGUGUGAGGGAAAGUGGGGAUCCUGGGCCAACUUACCAUUAAGAGGGUCCAGUCCUGUGACUGCUGUGAAGUAACCAGGAUUCCACAUAGAGAUGGGGCUCAAAGUCAGCCCAGGAGCAGCACUGUGGUCCCAGAACUAAUAUUUGGCGACUCCAAGGCCAGGGAUAAAAAUGAAGAGAUGGAGAGACAAGAUUUCCUGGCCUCUAAUUGGCAGCACCCGUUGACUCUGCUCGUGACCAGACUCAUGAACGCUUCAUCCAAGGUUUCAUGUCAUCCGUGUGAGGAACCUCUCUGAUUUGAGAAAAUCUUUCUUAAAAUGGGCUUCUAGUUGUAAAGCCAUUGUCUUUUUAGGAAAUCAUCAAAUACCUUAAAGCUAGACACGCAAUCAGCUGCAUAAAUGACACACUCACUAAAUCAAUCCUUUAUCAGGUGAUCCUGAUGCUCAUGGCCAUGCAUUGAGAACAACUGUGUAAGAAGAUAUGGAUAAUGCUUGAAAACUACUAGUAUUAGCACCAUUUUGCAUAUACUCCAAGGAAGAUCUCAAUAAAUGCUUAAUGGAAAUAAGUAAAGGUAUGAAUGCUGGACCUAAUACAGGAGGAAGACCCAGGUGAUUUGUGUACAAUUUGGACACAAGCUCUUGCCAACCACCUGAGAGAUUCCAACAAUGAGAUGAGAUUCCUUACCUUGAACCAGAUAAUUUGGAAUGAAUGUCUAGGCAGAACUUCUGCUUCAGAAUGACCACAAUUAACUACCAGACAACCAACUUUGGGGACAUAUCAGUAGGUUGAUCCUGGUUUGGGAAGCUUCCAGCUUGGAAUGAUUACAAUAGAAAGAAGCUGUUCUCCUGAUUCUUCCUGAUGCUGACACACCUUCUCUUUUUAAAAACAAUAGCAUGGCACCUUUGAUUACUGUUAUAAAGUCCAGAGGUCUUCAGACUGGGGCACACCCACCCAGGGGGGUAUAUAAAGACUUUGUAAGGGGCACUUGGGCAUCGAAGUGUUGGGUUAUGUGUCCUCAACUUUCCUAUCGUCGAGUUCCUAAAACAGACUUGCAUAAGAACCUCUGGGCUGGGAGUUAUUUACCCUCUCCUACAUCUCUUCCUUUCUAUCAUCCUUUUGCUACUCUACAAAGGAAAGGCACCACCCUCCCCCAUCCCAAAUCUUACUAAAGUAUAUUGCCUGGGUGUAGAAACCUUUAUGAUAGCA